CGUAGGGAGCUAGCGUUGUCCGGAAUCAUUGGGCGUAAAGCGCGCGUAGGCGGCCCGGUAAGUCCGCUGUGAAAGUCAAAGGCUCAACCUUUGAAUGUCAGCGGAUACUGCCGGGCUAGAGUCCGGAAGAGGCGAGUGGAACUCCUGGUGUAGCGGUGGAAUGCGCAGAUAUCAGGAAGAACACCAACGGCGAAGGCAGCUCGCUGGGACGGAACUGACGCUAAGGCGCGAAAGCGUGGGGAGCGAACAGGAUUAGAUACCCUGGUAGUCCACGCUGUAAACGAUGGGCACUAGGUGUGGGAGGUGUCGACUCCUCCCGUGCCGGCGCUAACGCAUUAAGUGCCCCGCCUGGGGAGUACGGCCGCAAGACUA
rnacentral:rRNA from 1 species